GCCCUCCACGUGUACGACAGCCAUGUCAGAAUAGAAACACCCUCUAGUCAAGUGCCAGGUAAUUAAAGUCAUUCAAUACAGUUUUUGUUUCGAACAUUCAGGUACUAUAAUGGCUCCCAAGCGUUUCAACGUCUUAAAUGCGCUACGUUUCCUAAAUUAGAUACGCUGAUUGAGUGCGUUACAUUUGCAAUUAAAGGCGCGUUAAGGCGCUUUAAAUGCUUGGGUAGUUUA
rnacentral:lncRNA from 1 species